rnacentral:ncRNA from 2 species
UGAUUCUUUCGAGCGCCUGACCCCGACGUAACGUCGGGGUGACGAGGAGAGGGGUCCGACGUAACGUCGGACAAUCGGACCUCCGAUUUAAUCGGGGAGUAUCAGCGGAAACCCUCAAGCCUAGGUUUGGCUGUUUAUUUUAAAAAUCGGGAGUAAUUCCGAGAUUAAAGAAUAAACUAUAACUGCUC